GCAGCAGGCGCAACCACAUCAGCAGCAGGCGCAACCACAACAGCAGCAGGCGCAACCACAACAACAGCAGGCGCAACAACAACAGCAGCAGGCGCCACCACAACAGCAGAAGGCGCAACAACCACAGCAGGCGCAACAACAACAGCAGCAGGCGCAACAACAACAGCAGCCUCCGCCUCCUCCGCCGGCGGCAGGCCAACCUACCAGGCACUGUCACAAGCUCUGCUCAUCAUCCUAGGGACCAUGGGUCUGACCUUGCUAUAAAGCAGCUUUAAGAAGGUCCAAAAGUGGCAAAAACCUACAUUACAUAUAUUAACUACAUCAAAAAUAUAUGAACAAUUCGUAAAAUACUUUGUAUUUUUCAAUCCUCAGUUCAUUAAUGGAAGGAUAUUGUUAAUUAAAGGCCCAUGACGAUGCCUAGAAAUUAGCCUUAAAGAAGGAGCUAUUUAUUUUUCUAACAAUUUUGUCCUUUUGUUUGCCUUUGGGUGAGUUAUGAGUUUUGUGUAUAUUUCCACGCAUUCCAUUGUAUGUGUCAUGUAUUUAUUGUGUAAGUCUCAGACCGACAGGUUAUCAGGCACUGAACCAAUGUUCGUCCCCUCUCUCUUCGUUGAAUGAUGCCACUGGAUGGCAGAAACGAUACUGGCUUGUAUGUUAAAUAAACUUGCGAUUUGUGAUUAUCUAAGCACGAAAAUUAAGAGCAGUAUUAAAUUAAGUAAAUUCUGCUCACAGAAAAAACAUGCAUUCAAACAGUGGUGGUAUGAUCCGAUUGUUAUGCACUUUGUUGCAACAACUAGUAUGUUUUAUUUGUUUGUUAAAUAAAAUAUACCAGUCAACUUGA